rnacentral:tRNA from 1 species
GUGGGUACAGCUCAGUGGUAGAGCACAUGGUUAGCACGCACCAGGUCCUGGGUUCAAGCCCCAGUGCCUCCG